rnacentral:rRNA from 1 species
UACGUAGGGACCGAGCGUUGUCCGGAAUCAUUGGGCGUAAAGAGCGUGUAGGCGGCCAAUUAAGUCCUGCGUGAAAUCUCGGGGCUCAACCCCGAGCGGUCGUGGGAAACUGGUUGGCUAGAGUGCGGGAGAGGAGAGUGGAAUUCCUGGUGUAGCGGUGAAAUGCGCAGAUAUCAGGAAGAACACCCGUGGCUAAGGCGGCUCUCUAGUACGGUACUGACGCUGAGACGCGAAAGCGUGGGGAGCGAACAGG